GCGCUACGUGAUGAGUUAUAUACAUUUUUUCAGUUAUCCCUGUCUUAAGAUUUAUGUCGAGACCUUGAAAAUCUGAUUCGCGC
rnacentral:snoRNA from 1 species